AACAAAGUAUCGAACUUAAUUUACAUAUAAUGAUUUGUUGCAGCAUUAAAGGACAACAUUGUAUCAUAGACUGUAAGAGAAGAAGUACAGAGAGAACAAGUUGAAACAACACUCAACAGCCACUCGCUUCAGUUUAGGUAGCACUAUGGUUAGAUUGUAUGUACUGUGUAUGAUUGGUUUCAUCUUGCUGCACAGCCAGAUAUUUCUUUUUUUUCUUACUUCCUGUUGUUGUAAUCAAUGUACUAGGAACUAUUACAUUGUUUAUUUGUAAAUUUGUAAAUUGUUGCAGUAUUCACUUGAAUUACUUUGUUUCAGAUGUUAAAUUUAUUGCAAUAACUGUUAGAAAUCAUCUUCUCUUUUCUUGCUUCUCUUCUUUGAUCCGUGUGUCCAGGCAGACCAGGAACUGGUGCUACCUUCUACGGGCAUACUGCAAGUUACUCCACCAGUCCACCAUGAAGUUGAGGCCCUUAUUCUUGGCUAGAUGUAGAAACUGAAGCUGGCCUUUUGAGAAAGGCUUUAUUCAGUUAUACGAUCCAGGAAUUCAGGUACAUAUCAAGGGAAAAUCUGAAGCUAUAACAUUUAGUAGGGCUCAGAUGUUGGCUCUUCAUCUUGAAGCUCUAUGGUUGUCUGAUAAAUAUUUUGUGCAUGUUUGGAUUAAGAUCUGGAUUAUUUCUCCGGCUUGAAAACUAUAGAAGGUUGGUUCAAGCGUCAAUACCUAUCCUUUGAUCUCGCCGCCUCCCCUCGAUCUGCAAGUGGCAAGCUUGAGUUCCCGACGUCUGGUCGGCUCUAGGGACCUGCAGCAUCAGAGAGCUUUCUCGCCGCGAACUGCCUGCGGAUCAGGCAUCCCU